AUCCAGACUCCUACGGGAGGCAGCAGUGGGGAAUAUUGCACAAUGGGGGAAACCCUGAUGCAGCGACGCCGCGUGAGCGAUGAAGUAUUUCGGUAUGUAAAGCUCUAUCAGCAGGGAAGAAGAUGACGGUACCUGACUAAGAAGCCCCGGCUAACUACGUGCCAGCAGCCGCGGUAAUACGUAGGGGGCAAGCGUUAUCCGGAUUUACUGGGUGUAAAGGGAGCGUAGACGGCGGCGCAAGCCAGAUGUGAAAGCCCGGGGCUCAACUCCGGGACUGCAUUUGGAACUGUGUGGCUGGAGUGUCGGAGAGGCAGGCGGAAUUCCUAGUGUAGCGGUGAAAUGCGUAGAUAUUAGGAGGAACACCAGUGGCGAAGGCGGCCUGCUGGACGAUGACUGACGUUGAGGCUCGAAAGCGUGGGGAGCAAACAGGAUUAGAUACCCGUGUAA
rnacentral:rRNA from 1 species